rnacentral:rRNA from 1 species
AGAGUUUGAUCCUGGCUCAGAACGAACGCUGGCGGCAUGCCUAACACAUGCAAGUCGAACGCUCAUGAUGGUUUUGGCCGUUAUGGGAGUGGCGCACGGGUGAGUAGCGCGUGGGAACCUGCCUUUCAGUGGGGGAUAACCGCGGGAAACUGCGGCUAAUACCGCAUACGUCCCGGUGAUGAGCCGGGGGAAAGAUUUUA